CAGCUGUUACCGUACGUUCAGCGGUGCCCAAACGCGGAUUUACACACCUAAAAAAAUGUCUAGGAGAUGGUGACUUAAGAGAAGCAUCUAUUUUAUGCAGCUCUUUUAAGGAAGACCUGGCCUAUCUGGACUUAUGUGUCUUAAAGGAAUUAUAACCCUGGAGCUCAAGCAAUGGAUGAGGAAAAGAAGUAUCGACAUGUCUUGUUCAUCAGGGUUUCCUGAAUCUGGUCAACGACAUCGAUUGGAUUUUCGACAACCGGUUUGAUAUUAAACUUUUGCCAGAAGUCAAUUCCCAAGAUGCAUUGCCUAUUGAGUUCGGGAGCGAUAACGACAGGUGAGACCGGAGAUUGCGUUCGUUGAGCUGUCGCUUUUCCAAUCGAUCAAUGUUGCGAAUCGCGAGUUCAUAGUCUAACUCAUCGAUUGCUAAAUGUGCACAGUUCAUGCUAUGGUACUGGACAUACAAAUUAGGCAUGUCCAUUUUUUAGACUUAAGGUAACCUAUUAAAUUAUGAAUUUUAUUUUAUAUUCUAUUUAAAUUACGAAUAUAUAAAGAAAUUAUUGAGAAACAACCAACUUAAAGCUGAACCACAAAAC